GACGAACGCUGGCGGCGUGCUUAACACAUGCAAGUCGAACGGAAAGGCCCCCACCUUGGUGGGGGUGCUCGAGUGGCGAACGGGUGAGUAACACGUGGGUGAUCUGCCCUGUACUUCGGGAUAAGCUUGGGAAACUGGGUCUAAUACCGGAUAGGACCAUGGUUUAGUGUCUCAUGGUGGAAAAAUUAUUGUUUUGGUGCAGGAUGAGCUCGCGGCCUAUCAGCUUGUUGGUGGGGUAAUGGCCUACCAAGGCGUCGACGGGUAGCCGGCCUGAGAGGGUGGACGGCCACAUUGGGACUGAGAUACGGCCCAGACUCCUACGGUAGGCAGCAGUGGGGAAGAUUGCACAAUGGGCGCAAGCCUGAUGCAGCGACGCCGCGUGGGGGAUGACGGCCUUCGGGUUGUAAACUCCUUUCGUUAGGGACGAAGCCACACCUUUUUUGGGUGUGGUGACGGUACCUUUGUUAAGAAGCACCGGCUAACUACGUG
rnacentral:rRNA from 1 species